GUACUGAUGAAGAGUCCCAAACUAGGACGAAACACUUGUUUAGUAC
rnacentral:hammerhead_ribozyme from 1 species